CCUGGCUCCACCUUUACCACCUCUUUCUCCUCACGCUCGCCAAUCCCUACAUUCAAUAUCCCGGCCGCCGCCGCCUCUUCACCCUCCAUUGCUCGCCGCCGGCGCCGGACCGUCGGCUCUCGCCGACUACCUCUGCUUCGUUGACUGUUAAAGGAUAUACCCAAACAUGAGUCCUGCUUUCACUUCAAAAUUCUCCAAAGUUUCUGCCUAUGGGCUGAAUCCAAGCCAUGCAUUUUGAUUUCUUCACAUGUCAAAAGAAAGGAGGACUUAUUGGUGUGAAACAAAAAAGUACUUUGACAAGUCGGCCUUACAGUUAUAUAGAUAUAUAGGUUAGAGAAUUGCGUCAAACUUUUAGUCAAGUCCAAGAUCGUGAGGAGAGGCUUCAACGGAAACUUGACCAAGUCCAAGAUCGUGAGGAGAGGCUUCAACAGACGCUUGGCCAAGUACAAGAUAAUAACAAGGAGCUUCAACAAAGUUUGCUUGAAAUGAAAGAGGAGAGGGACCAAUAUCGUGCGGAGAUGAUGCGUCAAAUGAAGGAUAUGAUGAUGAGUUUUGAGAGGAGGAUUCUUCAGCAGUCGCAAUUUACCACACAGGACUCACAACCAGUUACUGACGAUCAUGAUGUUGACUUAUAGUUGUAUUUGUCGUAUACUUAUUAUUUUGUGUUGAACAUAUAUACUUAAAUAUUUCUUUUUGUAUGAA